CCUACGGGAGGCAGCAGUGGGGAAUUUUGGACAAUGGGGGAAACCCUGAUCCAGCCAUCCCGCGUGUGCGAUGAAGGCCUUCGGGUUGUAAAGCACUUUUGUCAGGGAAGAAAAGGUUCUGGCUAAUAUCCGGAACUGAUGACGGUACCUGAAGAAUAAGCACCGGCUAACUACGUGCCAGCAGCCGCGGUAA
rnacentral:rRNA from 1 species